UCAAAUUAUUUUUAUCCUUUUGUUUGCUCCACUUUUAUGAUGGCAAAAAUAAAAUAUCAGGGAAGAGUCUGAAGCUCAGUCUAAAAUCAGCAGUUCUUCAACAAGUAUUUUGUCUCCAUCAGAAUUCUUUCUGCUGCAUGAAGCAGAUUAAAAGGAGGAAACCAAGUAUUUUGCAACACUACAAAUGUAACUAUAUUCCGUUUGUCAUUACUUCUUCAAGGAAGCAUAUUUAGUAACAAGGGGUCUGUGAAGGCAAACUUGUAAAAUCUGUGAAUCUGCUGGUACUCAGGGAGAGCAAUCUAACAUCAAACGAAAUGUGCGCAUUCAUGUUCCCAUCCUGGAUGUAAAUGAACCGGCUGAAUGAACAUGUCGGGGAGAAACCCAGAUCUGGCUUCCAGGUUUUGCUCACCUGCCACCCCUGUGGACACCCCAUGCAUUUUUUUGGCAACACCCUCUCUUCCAUGGGGGCUUUGCGACCCACCCUCAUCUGCUCAGACGCCAGCUGCAUUUCCCAGUGUUGCUGCAAAAACGGUGCCGCCUGUGCUGGAAAUGGGAUCUUCCACUAUUUAGCAAGGCUUUGCUGAAUGAGUCAUCAGAGCCGGCUGGUAUUGGCUGGGCUGGUGAGCACCCAAGGGAUUGCCUGGCAGAGGCUGAGAGGCCUUGCUUCAUUCACAGAAAUGUGGGGAAGCUAGGAGCCCUUUCAUUCACACGCACAGAAAUUCAUUCACAUUUUGCAGUUUUGCUAGCCACUUCUAAUGAAGAGAACUAUUUGGGAGCAGUAGGGUUUUCUGGGCAGUAGAAUCACGUAAAAGUAGACUGCGAUGUGUAUAUUUGCUGUUGCUAUGCUAGGAGGAUGAAGAGAGGAAUGAAUGCUGUGUGGAUGCUGUAGCAGGUUCGCAGUGUGGUGAUGAAAGGCUGUUCUGCAGAUCACUAGAAACCUGCUUUUGCACUGACUAGGACAUUGCUAUUACUCAUCACUGCUGGGAUAAGAGAUUCACAGAUAUCUGAGGUGGAAGAACAGUGUGGUGUUUCAUCAGGGUUGUCAAUUCAGUUUUAAAGCAAGGUCUCGGCAGUUUCUACGACUUCAACAACACCUUCGUACGUGGUCUCACCAGAUGUUCUCCGCAAGGACCAUGAAGAUGGACCCACCACCCUGUGCACCCUUAUCCAUAAAGUGUCCCACUUGAAACUCUCUAGCACAGGCAGCCUUUUGGGUAUCAAAAAUCUCUCCUCUGCAGUAAAGGAGCUUGCUGUCUCCAAGUUGCAGGGAAGCUCAAGUGCUUCUGGCUCAGCAGCAGGGGCUUCAGACAACACAUGUAACCUUGUCUCUGCCACUUCGUGUUCUCAGCAGGACGUGAGCAAGAUGAGUAUGGGGAAAAAAACACGGUCAGAGGAAAUACACCCGGGAGGUGAAGACUGGAAUCAAAGUAGCAGCUUUGUCAGUAAACCCUCUCGGGGAUGGCUGCACUCGAGUGAGAAGAUCCUGGGACCUGGUGUGACGUACGUUGUGAAGUGGCUGACCUUCUGUAUGCUAGAGAAAGCUGAUAUCCUUGAAUUGAGAAGAGGAUUAAAACUAUAUACAAGUGAACUUGCAUUUAAAGUUAACCCAUAUCUAACACUGAUGGUAGAACAGAUAUUUUAAUUAGUGUAGCUGUUGUCAAAUACAUGAAAGUGUAUUUGUACACAUUACAUGUAUUAGAAUUUUGAAAAUAAAUCAUUAGCACU